UUGCUGUGAUGGCAUUUGGCAGAAGCGCGCUAACCGCGCCCUUUGCGAUGCUUGUUACAGGAGAAGUGUCCGGUUCGAUCCCUGCGUGGGUUAUCCACGGCGGAAGCGGCUUGAGUAAUCAGCCUUCGACCGCCAGCUAACAAGCAGGCUUAAACCCGGAGGGAAGCAAUUCAGCACGGGGACCUGUCCGUGGGGAGGCGAAACGGAUGGCACAUCUUCUGGCUUUGGCAAGUAUUGUAUGGGGCCUAGUGAUGCGACUCCACAGGAUUUUUU
rnacentral:SRP_RNA from 20 species